ACCAUUCUCAACCAUCUUUUAGGGCCAUCCCUGAAUGUGGGUCUGCCAUUACUGCUCACGUUUUGUUUGCACCCGCAGACCAAGCUGAACUAUCCGUCAGCCAAGGCGGGCUGCUUCUCUCCUCCCUCAGCUGAAGGAAAUGUCUGUGUGGCCAUAGCUACAAACUGAGGGAGAAGGACUGAUGAAAAUCUAUAGGUGGCAUAGGGUCUGGCCCAUGUGUUCAUGGAUGUAACUUGUGUCCUCUGGUCCUGCUCAAUUUCCUUCCUGAACGUGCAGGUCCGUUCUAUUAUGGACAGGUGUCACUAGGCCUCUCUGAACUCAUGACUGUGAACCUAACAGAACCCAGCUCAUAAUGGGAAAUUCCAAAGGCAUUGUCACUUCCUGUCCCACAUUCCAGUGCUCCAACUUUACCAGGACUCAGUUUGAUGUCAAAAGAUGUUUCUCUCUUAAAGAUUUAUAAUUCUCAUGGUUGACAGCAUGGCCCUAGAAUUCCAGGGGCCUGCCUUGGGGCUCUCCCAUUACAGCCACUAUGGUGCAUCCUUUCCCACCACUGACGCUUCUGGUGCGAUAGCCUUUGCUAGAUUAUGUGACCCAAGCUGCAGCACUGAUUGCAUUAUGAUCUGGACUUACACUAGUGACCCUUCCUACUCCAGGAAACCUUAGUCUUUUGUGUCCCCCAGUAAUUAUUCUGAGGUGUGGUUGUGCUGCCUAUAGUCCCAAAGGGGUCUGUCAAGCACUAUAUUUUCUUCUUUGUGGUGGAAGAUUCAAGAUGCAGCAAAUGGGGAUUUCUCCUUAUUGCUCAAUGGGUUAAGGACCUGACAUUGUCUCUGUGAGGAGGUGGGUUCAAUCCCUGGCCUCUCUCAGUGGGUUAAGGAUCCAGCAUUGCUAUAAGCUGUGGCAUAGGUCACAGAUGCAGCUUGGAACCAGCAUUGGCUGCAGCUCCAAUUUGAUCCCAGCCCAGGAACUUCCAUAUGCCACAGGUGUGGCCAUAAAGAGAAAAAGAAAAUAAAAACAAAAAGUUGCAGCAGUUUGUUUUUUACUUUGAAAGACACAUCAUGGUAGUCUUCUGAUACUAGAUCCUUCAAAUUACACUGACAUAUCCAGUCUCUGUAACUUGGAAGGUUUACUUUCCUGUCUCUGGGAUGGAUAUCUUGCCAAGGCUUAGAGAACACUAGUUGCUUAUUUCUCAUCUUGCCAACUGAGCAUAAUGUCAUUGGUGUAAUGGAGCAGCAUGACAUCGAGAUGUCCAGGUGGUCCAGAUCUCUUAGGACAAUAUUAUAACAAAAGGCAGGAAAGUUCCCCUUGUGGCUCAGUGGUUAGCGAACCCAACUAGCAUCCAUGAGGAUGUGGGUUCGAUCCCUGACCUUGCUCAGUAGGUUAAGGAUCCUGCGUUGCUGUGAGCCAUGGUAUAGGUUGCAGACCCUGCCUGGAUCCGGCAUUGAUGUGGCUGUGGUGUAGGCCUGCAGCUACAGCUCCAAUUGGACCCCUAGCCUGGGGACAUCCAUAU
ensembl:lncRNA